CGGACGGGUGAGUAACGCGUGAGCAACCUGCCCUGCAACGGGGGACAACAGUUGGAAACGACUGCUGAUACCGCAUGAGACCACGGUUUCGCAUGGAACUGAGGUAAAAGGAUUUAUUCGAUGCAGGAUGGGCUCGCGUCCCAUUAGAUAGUUGGUGAGGUAACGGCUCACCAAGUCAACGAUGGGUAGCCGACCUGAGAGGGUGAUCGGCCACACUGGAACUGAGACACGGUCCAGACUCCUACGGGAGGCAGCAGUGGGGAAUAUUGGGCAAUGGGGGAAACCCUGACCCAGCAACGCCGCGUGAGGGAAGAAGGUCUUCGGAUUGUAAACCUUUGUCCUAUGGGACGAAACAAAUGACGGUACCAUAGGAGGAAGCUCCGGCUAACUACGUGCCAGCAGCCGCGGUAAUACGUAGGGAGCAAGCGUUGUCCGGAAUUACUGGGCGUAAAGGGUGCGUAGGUGGCCAUGUAAGUCAGGUGUGAAAGACCGGGGCUCAACCCCGGGGCGGCACUUGAAACUGUGUGGCUUGAGUACAGGAGAGGGAAGUGGAAUUCCUAGUGUAACGGUGAAAUGCGUAGAUAUUAGGAGGAACACCAGUGGCGAAGGCGACUUUCUGGACUGUAACUGACACUGAGGCACGAAAGCGUGGGGAGCAAACAGGAUUAGAUACCCUGGUAGUCCACGCCGUAAACGAUGGAUACUAGGUGUGGGGCCCGAUAGGGUUCCGUGCCGAAGCUAACGCAUUAAGUAUCCCGCCUGGGGAGUACGAUCGCAAGGUUGAAACUCAAAGGAAUUGACGGGGGCCCGCACAAGCAGCGGAGCAUGUGGUUUAAUUCGAAG
rnacentral:rRNA from 1 species